AGUGAACGCUGGCGGUAGGCCUAACACAUGCAAGUCGAACGGCAGCACAGUAAGAGCUUGCUCUUACGGGUGGCGAGUGGCGGACGGGUGAGGAAUACAUCGGAAUCUACUUUUUCGUGGGGGAUAACGUAGGGAAACUUACGCUAAUACCGCAUACGACCUACGGGUGAAAGCAGGGGAUCUUCGGACCUUGCGCGAUUGAAUGAGCCGAUGUGGGAUUAGCUAGUUGGCGGGGUAAAGGCCCACCAAGGCGACGAUCCGUAGCUGGUCUGAGAGGAUGAUCAGCCACACUGGAACUGAGACACGGUCCAGACUCCUACGGGAGGCAGCAGUGGGGAAUAUUGGACAAUGGGCGCAAGCCUGAUCCAGCCAUACCGCGUGGGUGAAGAAGGCCUUCGGGUUUUAAAGCCCUUUUGUUGGGAAAGAAAAGCAGCAGGUUAAUACCCCGCUGUUCUGACGGUACCCAAAGAAUAAGCACCGGCUAACUUCGUG
rnacentral:rRNA from 1 species